UUUUCUAUCACACAAAAGAAAACUCCAAAAGCUCUCUGCCUAAUUCUCUAUUGACAACUUGAAAUGAAAACUAUCAAAUUUGAGUCGAAUAUAAAUGUAACAAAGAAAUCAAGCAAAGACCCAGUUGACUACAUUAAGCGAGGUCAGUUUAUGCUGCCCUGUUUUCCUUCUUUUUUUUUGGGUGUCCUUUUGUUGAUUUUCUUUUCAAUUGGUUAAAUAUUUAUCAAUAUUUGCUGCUUCAUUUUGUGUUUCGUUUGUAAUCAUAUCAUCGCAUGCACUGGAUUUCGAUUUUCAUGUCUAUUGUUGUUGUUAGUCCAUGUAUUCUCCCACUUUCCACGGAUUUGUUUGCUUCUAAUUUUUUUGUCAGCCUAUAAAUAAUAGUACUCCAUACUCUUGGAUCUCAAAUUAGGAAAAACUCCUAUAAUGUGGUAACUGUAAGAUUUGAGUUUUUCACUUCUUUGAUGGAGAUGAAAUUAUUGGGGAUACUAUAGGCUUUGUUUUGACCCAUGGCCGUGAAUGUUAUGGCUCUUUGAAUCAUUGGUUGCCUUUAAUUGUUAUUUUUUUCCUCGAAAAUUCUCUUGAAUGUAAAAUAGAUAUUGUUUGUCCUUUUCACCAUUUUAUAUAUCCUUCUCAAAUGUAAUUUAUUGAACUGAAAUUGUUUUCUCUGUUGUAGAUCUUAUCUUAUAGAUUAGUGGGAAUUGAUACUUAUUUUCGUUUUUUGGCCCCAUACGAAAUUAAAUAGAAAUAAACGUGUUCUUCCUAAAUCGGUGAACAUAUUUUAUUUUAUUGUUCCUUACAGAAAAUCUGAUUACUAAAAAUUAAGAUUUUGUUUAAUUCAUAUUAACUGUUGAUGUUCAUUAGUAUAACAUACUUAAUUUGAUUCUCUCCUUUUCACAUUCUGAAUCCUUCCUUUUUUCAGGGUUGAAGAAAGAAGGUUGGCGAAGUAACAAAGGAAAAAAGUUGGUUAGAGUAAAAAAGCAUAUGAACAAGAACAUAAAUCCUCUGCCCCUACUCUUUUCAUAAAAAUUAGAAAGAAAGCAAUAACUGUUUGAGCAUAUGUAUUCACAAACCACAAGCAUCAAAGGGUAUUAUAAUGUUGCACUUUGACAAUGGACCAAGAAAGGCAGGUAGUCAUUGAAUGAAUUUGCCAUACUUGGUUAGGAUUCUAUCCAAGCAGAUUAUGUUUUUUCCCCUUGUUAUAUCUUGUAUGUUUCAGUCGGUGUAAAUAGGGACCUUUGAUGUAUAAAAAAUAUCUUCUCAAUGUUGAUUUGUUAUAAUUUUAUAGUUGCGCAAAUAACAAACAACAAUGUCGCACGAAGAAGAGACAACGAUUUGUUUGUGGUCCAUCACUUGAUUGGUUACUUAUCCUAAAAUCAUGUAUUCGCCUCUCCCCAUUGUAUGACUUGUUCAAUUCACUCGUAAGCACUUCGCGUUU
rnacentral:lncRNA from 1 species